GAUGAAGAACGUAGCGAAAUGCGAUACGUGAUGUGAAUUGCAGAAUUCAGUGAAUCAUCGAAUCUUUGAACGCAUAUUGCGCUCUCUGGUAUUCCGGAGAGCAUGCUUGUUUGAGUAUCAGUAAACACCUCAACUUCCAUAUCUUUUUUGAAAUGGGAGUUGGACUUGAGUGAUCCCAACGCUUUUCCUCACCGAAAAGUGGCGGGUUACUUGAAAUGCAGGUGCAGCUGGACUUUUCUCUGAGCUAUAAGCAUAUCUAUUUAGUCUGCCUAAAAAACAGAUUAUUACCUUUGCUGCAGCUAACAUAAAGGAGAUUAGUUCUUGUGCUGACUGAUGCAGGAUUCACAAAGACAGGCUUCGGCCGACUUUGUAAACUCGAUCUCAAAUCAAGUAAGACUACCCGCUGAACUUAAGCAUAUCAAUAAGCGGAGGA
rnacentral:misc_RNA from 1 species